GAUAUAAUUCAUGAACCAUAUCUAAUAAAAACCUAGGGUCUUUUGAUUCGAGGUCCUUGAUUUAUGACCUUGACAUUGAGGUCAAGGUCAUAAGUAAAUUUGACGUUCUUGAUUUUGUCUUUGAUUUUUGAUAAUUAUACAUUAUCAAGCCAUAUAAGACUUUGUGCAUUAGAUAACAAAGCCAUAUGACUGUGAAAAAGCAAACCGGA
rnacentral:lncRNA from 1 species